rnacentral:rRNA from 1 species
AUGCCUACGGGCCAAAGAGGGGGACCUUCGGGCCUCUCGCGUCAGGAUAUGCCUAGGUGGGAUUAGCUAGUUGGUGAGGUAAGGGCUCACCAAGGCGACGAUCCCUAGCUGGUCUGAGAGGAUGAUCAGCCACACUGGAACUGAGACACGGUCCAGACUCCUACGGGAGGCAGCAGUGGGGAAUAUUGCACAAUGGGCGCAAGCCUGAUGCAGCCAUGCCGCGUGUGUGAAGAAGGCCUUCGGGUUGUAAAGCACUUUCAGUCGUGAGGAAGGUAGUGUAGUUAAUAGCUGCAUUAUUUGACGUUAGCGACAGAAGAAGCACCGGCUAACUCCGUGCCAGCAGCCGCGGUAAUACGGAGGGUGCGAGCGUUAAUCGGAAUUACUGGGCGUAAAGCGCAUGCAGGUGGUUUGUUAAGUCAGAUGUGAAAGCCCGGGGCUCAACCUCGGAAUAGCAUUUGAAACUGGCAGACUAGAGUACUGUAGAGGGGGGUAGAAUUUCAGGUGUAGCGGUGAAAUGCGUAGAGAUCUGAAGGAAUACCGGUGGCGAAGGCGGCCCCCUGGACAGAUACUGACACUCAGAUGCGAAAGCGUGGGGAGCAAACAGGAUUAGAUACCCUGGUAGUCCACGCCGUAAACGAUGUCUACUUGGAGGUUGUGGCCUUGAGCCGUGGCUUUCGGAGCUAACGCGUUAAGUAGACCGCCUGGGGAGUACGGUCGCAAGAUUAAAACUCAAAUGAAUUGACGGGGGCCCGCACAAGCGGUGGAGCAUGUGGUUUAAUUCGAUGCAACGCGAAGAACCUUACCUACUCUUGACAUCCAGAGAACUUUCCAGAGAUGGAUUGGUGCCUUCGGGAACUCUGAGACAGGUGCUGCAUGGCUGUCGUCAGCUCGUGUUGUGAAAUGUUGGGUUAAGUCCCGCAACGAGCGCAACCCUUAUCCUUGUUUGCCAGCGAGUAAUGUCGGGAACUCCAGGGAGACUGCCGGUGAUAAACCGGAGGAAGGUGGGGACGACGUCAAGUCAUCAUGGCCCUUACGAGUAGGGCUACACACGUGCUACAAUGGCGCAUACAGAGGGCGGCCAACUUGCGAAAGUGAGCGAAUCCCAAAAAGUGCGUCGUAGUCCGGAUUGGAGUCUGCAACUCGACUCCAUGAAGUCGGAAUCGCUAGUAAUCGUGGAUCAGAAUGCCACGGUGAAUACGUUCCCGGGCCUUGUACACACCGCCCGUCACACCAUGGGAGUGGGCUGCAAAAGAAGUAGGUAGUUUAACCUUCGGGGGGACGCUUACCACUUUGUGGUUCAUGACUGGGGUGAAGUCGUAACAAGGUAGCGCUAGGGGAACCUGGCGCUGGAUCACCUCCUUA